rnacentral:rRNA from 2 species
AUUUCGAACGCACAUUGCAGCCCACGGAUUCUGUUCCCGGGCUACGCCUGGCUGAGGGCCGGC